rnacentral:rRNA from 1 species
GACGAACGCUGGCGGCGUGCUUAACACAUGCAGGUCGAACGGAAAGGCCCUGCUUUUGUGGGGUGCUCGAGUGGCGAACGGGUGAGUAACACGUGAGUAACCUGCCCUUGACUUUGGGAUAACUUCAGGAAACUGGGGCUAAUACCGGAUAGGAGCUCCUGCUGCAUGGUGGGGGUUGGAAAGUUUCGGCGGUUGGGGAUGGACUCGCGGCUUAUCAGCUUGUUGGUGGGGUAGUGGCUUACCAAGGCUUUGACGGGUAGCCGGCCUGAGAGGGUGACCGGCCACAUUGGGACUGAGAUACGGCCCAGACUCCUACGGGAGGCAGCAGUGGGGAAUAUUGCACAAUGGGCGGAGGCCUGAUGCAGCAACGCCGCGUGCGGGAUGACGGCCUUCGGGUUGUAAACCGCUUUCGCCUGUGACGAAGCGUGAGUGACGGUAAUGGGUAAAGAAGCACCGGCUAACUACGUG